rnacentral:rRNA from 1 species
GGUUAGAUAAGUCUUAGGUGUAAGUGCAGAGCUUAACUCUGUGAUGCUAGAGAAACUGUCUGACUUGAGUGUGGUAGAGGCAAGUGGAAUUCCAUGUGUAGCGGUAAAAUGCGUAAAUAUAUGGAGGAACACCAGUGGCGAAGGCGGCUUGCUGGGCCAUAACUGACACUGAGGCACGAAAGCGUGGGGAGCAAACAGGAUUAGAUACCCUGGUAGUCCACGCCGUAAACGAUGAGUACUAAGUGUUGGAGAAAUUCAGUGCUGUAGUUAACGCAAUAAGUACUCCGCCUGAGUAGUACGUGCGCAAGCAUGAAACUCAAAGGAAUUGACGGGACCCCGCACAAGCGGUGGAUCAUGUUGUUUAAUUCGAUGAUACGCGAAGAACCUUACCAGGUCUUGACAUCCCAUGCAAAGCUAUAGAGAUAUAGUGGAGGUUAUCAUGGAGACAGGUGGUGCAUGGUUGUCGUCAGCUCGUGUCGUGAGAUGUUGGGUUAAGUCCCGCAACGAGCGCAACCCUUAUUGCUAGUUACCAUCAUUAAGUUGGGGACUCUAGCGAGACUGCUAGUGAUAAACUGGAGGAAGGUGGGGAUGACGUCAAAUCAGCAUGCCCCUUAUGACCUGGGCUACAAACGUGAUACAAUGGCUGAAACAAAGGGCAGCGAAGCAGUGAUGUGAAGCGAAACCCAAAAAAGCAGUCUCAGUUCGGAUUGAAGUCUGCAACUCGACUUCAUGAAGUCGGAAUCGCUAGU